GCCCGGGUAGCUCAGCCCGGUAGAGCGGCCGGCUGUUAACCGGCAGGUCCCCGGUUCGAAUCCGGGCCCGGGCG
rnacentral:tRNA from 1 species